rnacentral:rRNA from 1 species
GGAUUGGGAGGGUUCUACGGAACCCGUUUGGUGAAUCUAGUGCCGAGAAAAGCCUUCUAUGUGUUGAAUUUCUAGUACCCGUACCCCAAACCGACACAGGUGGGUGGGUAGAGCAUACCUAGGGGCGCGUGAUAACUCUCUCUAAGGAACUCGGCAAAAUGGCCCUGUAACUUCGGGAUAAGGGGUGCCUGCGUGAGCAGGCCGCAGUGAAAUGGCUCUGGCGACUGUUUAUCAAAAACACAGGUCUCUGCUAAGUCGUAAGACGAUGUAUAGGGGCUGACUCCUGCCCAGUGCCGGAAGGUUAAGGAAGUUGGUUAGCGCAAGCGAAGCUGGCGACCGAAGCCCCGGUGAACGGCGGCCGUAACAAUAACGGUCCUAAGGUAGCGAAAUUCCUUGUCGGGUAAGUUCCGACCCGCACGAAAGGAGUAACGAUCAGAGCGCUGUCUCGGAGAGAGACACGGCGAAAUAGGAUUGUCCGUGAAGAUACGGACUACCUGCACCCGGACAGAAAGACCCUAUGAAGCUUUACUGUAACUUGGAAUUGUGUUCGGACUUUGUCUGCGCAGAAUAGGUGGGAGGCUAUGAAACGUUCCUCGCGGGGAACUGGAGCCAUCGUUGAGAUACCACUCUGGCAGAGUCUGGAUUCUAACCUACGGGGACAGUUCCAGGUGGGCAGUUCACUGGGGCGGUCGCCUCCUAAAAUGUAACGGAGGCGCGCAAAGGUUCCCUCAGGCUGGUUGGAAAUCAGCCAUAGAGUGUAAAAGCAUAAGGGAGCUUGACUGUGAGACCUACAAGUCGAGCAGGGACGAAAGUCGGCUUUAGUGAUCCGACGGCACUGAGUGGAAGGGCCGUCGCUCAACGGAUAAAAGUUACUCUAGGAUAACAGGCUGAUCUCCCCCAAGAGUUCACAUCGACGAGGAGGUUUGGCACCUCGAUGUCGGCUCGUCGCAACCUGGGGCGGUAGUACGUCCCAAGGGUUGGGCUGUUCGCCCAUUAAAGCGGCACGUGAGCUGGGUUCAGAACGUCGUGAGACAGUUCGGUCCAUAUCCGGUGUAGGCGUAGGAGCAUUGAAAGGAUCUCUCCUUAGUACGAGAGGACCGGGAGGGACGUACCUCUGGUGUACCUGUUAUCGUGCCAACGGUAAACGCAGGGUAGCCAUGUACGGAGUGGAUAACCGCUGAAAGCAUCUAAGUGGGAAGCCCACCUUAAGAUGAGUGCUCCCUUGAGGCCACGGGAAGACGACCCGUUUGAUAGGCGCUAGGUGGAAGUGCAGUAAUGCAUGCAGCCGAGGCGUACUAAUAGGCCGAUGGC